UGGACAUCCCGGAAAGGUCUCAAUGCCUUUAUUAGGGAACCUUCUUCUGACCCAGAUGUAUGGAGAACUGACCCAAGAAGGACCUACAACUCAGGUUCAGGCCCCAACUCCACCAGGGAAACAAACUCCCCGGGUUUGAAUCCUGGCCCCUGACGCCGGGCAGGUAAUUUAAUCGGUCUGUGCGUCAGGCCUUCAUCUGAAAACCGGGAGUGGUAAAGGAAAUUCUCAUAAAGUUAUUGUGAGGGGUCAGGUGACAUUUAGCAAGUGCAGAGAGCAAUGCCUUAUACGUAGUAAAUACCUAUUUCAGUGCUGGCUAUGGCUACUGUUAGCGACACUGCCUUGGCUUCCUUUACAGAGAAUUUGGGAAUUGUUUUGUGCACCCGCUUUCGAAGCCACUCAGUGAAGGCUAAAGGAUUUCUCGAAGUUUCUAGGGAAUCCAGAAGGAGGUACUAGAUGGUAAAGGAGGCAGGAGGAAUCUGUUCAGGUGUUCAGGGAUCCCUUCUACUGCCAAAGGAGGGGCCCGACUGUUCCAAGCACAGGUGGCAAUUCCCAUUCCCUCCUCCCCUCUUUAUUUCGGAAAAGGCAGCAGUUUUGUGCCAGGAGGCCGAUUAGACUUAUAUCCCUCAUCUGCCAGGGAGUCCUUUUUUAGAACUGAUAGCGGCGGUGUCACGUUGGUCAGGGCAGCAAGGGCUGGGGUAGUGCGUCCCCGUGAGAAGGACAAGGGGCUUGUGAACGCCUCAAUGGUUAAUUCAAGUGCCGUGACCAGAAAGCCAAAGUUUGGGUAGGCAGAGAAACCUGGAGAACCAGCCGGCCGCCCUGACCAGGCCUCAGGGCCUCUGAGCCGCGCCGUCCCUCCUCUGCCUCGAAUUGGCGGCGGCUCCCCAGCGGGAGGGCGAGAAGCUGCACUGCUGCCCUGGAACUUCGAGCAGCGCGUUCUCACUCCUACUACUUUCUGGCUCCGCCCCCGACGCCCGCACGCGGGCUGCGCGCGGAGCAUUGUGGGCCGCACGGCCGACGGAGCCCCCCCUGGGCCCAGGGCUUCGGGACUGAGCUUCCUAUCCGGGCCCCACGCCACUUUCGCGCCGCCGCAGCCGGGAGCGGGCGCGUUACGUUCGCCCCACGCCUACAGCCUCAAGCUCUUCGAAAUCUCCCGUCCAGGCAGGUUCCGGGCAGCAGAGAUAAUAGGAUGAUGGAGGAUGAUGUUUUACCCAGGAACUAACGGGACAUCCGGGAAAACAUGGCCCCAGAGAGCGUUCAAGACCAUACCCUUCUGCUUUUUCCCUGAGGGCAGAGAAUGCUGAUGCAGCAAUGGUCACCUAAGGUAUUCCAUAAACUUCUGGCCUUAGUCUGCUCUCCUCUCAGUCUGACUAAAAAGUGCUGUUAGUAGAAAAGAGAAUAAAAUAAAAUAAAACUAAUCCCUCAGUGUUCCUGCCCCCCCACCAGCAAAAGAGACAACUGGUGAGAAGGAGCCACAACUUGGAAAAGAUUUAUUUUUCCUGGCCAUAAAUCUCACCC
rnacentral:lncRNA from 1 species